rnacentral:rRNA from 1 species
UUAAAUUGAAGAGUUUGAUCAUGGCUCAGAUUGAACGCUGGCGGCAGGCCUAACACAUGCAAGUCGAACGGUAACAGGAAGCAGCUUGCUGCUUCGCUGACGAGUGGCGGACGGGUGAGUAAUGUCUGGGAAACUGCCUGAUGGAGGGGGAUAACUACUGGAAACGGUAGCUAAUACCGCAUAACGUCGCAAGACCAAAGAGGGGGACCUUCGGGCCUCUUGCCAUCGGAUGUGCCCAGAUGGGAUUAGCUAGUAGGUGGGGUAACGGCUCACCUA